rnacentral:rRNA from 1 species
UAGGGAACCUUCGGCAAUGGACGAAAGUCUGACCGAGCAACGCCGCGUGAGUGAAGAAGGUUUUCGGAUCGUAAAACUCUGUUGGUAGAGAAGAACGUUGGUGAGAGUGGAAAGCUCAUCAAGUGACGGUAACUACCCAGAAAGGGACGGCUAACUACGUGCCAGCAGCCGCGGUAAUACGUAGGUCCCGAGCGUUGUCCGGAUUUAUUGGGCGUAAAGCGAGCGCAGGUGGUUUAUUAAGUCUGGUGUAAAAGGCAGUGGCUCAACCAUUGUAUGCAUUGGAAACUGGUAGACUUGAGUGCAGGAGAGGAGAGUGGAAUUCCAUGUGUAGCGGUGAAAUGCGUAGAUAUAUGGAGGAACACCGGUGGCGAAAGCGGCUCUCUGGCCUGUAACUGACACUGAGGCUCGAAAGCGUGGGGAGCAAACAGGAUUAGAUACCCUGGUAGUCCACGCCGUAAACGAUGAGUGCUAGAUGUAGGGAGCUAUAAGUUCUCUGUAUCGCAGCUAACGCAAUAAGCACUCCGCCUGGGGAGUACGACCGCAAGGUUGAA